rnacentral:rRNA from 1 species
UACGGAGGGUGCAAGCAUUGAUCGGAAUUACUGGGCGUAAAGGGCGCGUAGGCGGCUGUGUAAGUCAGAUGUGAAAUUCCGGGGCUCAACCCCGGAGCUGCAUUUGAAACUGUAUAGCUAGAGUUCAGUUAGGGUAAACGGAAUUCCACGUGUAGCGGUGAAAUGCGUAGAUAUGUGGAAGAACACCGGUGGUGAAGACGGUUUACUGGGCUGAGACUGACGCUGAGGCGCGAAAGCAUGGGGAGCAAACAGG